CAUGACCGAUGAUGAUGUGCAUAUUGAUUUCACUUGGGAAGAGUGGACUUUGCUGGAUACUUCUCAGAAGAAUCUCUACAAAGAUGUGAUGCUGGAGACCUAUGAGAACCUCAAUGAUAUAGGAUACUCUUGGGAAGACAAUAUUAUUGAAGAACAUUGUGCAAGUUCAAAAAGACAUGACAGGCAUGAAAGAAGGCAAACUGGAGAGAAU